CUCUCGUCCUCAGGUCCCCCUGUCCCUCUCUCUGGGUGGGGAAAGUUACCGUGGACCUCACUGAGAAACACAUAUGGGACCUCUUCAAAACGUGUGGGGAGAUAGAGAGUAUCAGUGUUCUACAUGAGAGAUUCUGUGCCUUCAUCAACUUCAAGAAUGCCAACAUGGCCGCUCUCGCCUUGGAGA